CUUAACCCUAAGCUACCUGCUGCCUUGAAUCUGAACCAGGCUCCUUGUUAACUAUGUUGUAAGGCUUUCUAGCGACUUAGGUCAGUGUUUCCCAAAUCCGGUGCUCCAGUACCCCCAGCAGCCCAACUCCAGUCUUCCAGUACCCCCAGCAGCCCAACUCCAGUCUUCCAGUACCCCCAGCAGCCCAACUCCAGUCUUCCAGUACCCCCAGCAGCCCAACUCCAGUCUUCCAACAGCCCAACUCCAGUCUUCCAGUACCCCCAGCACCCAACUCCAGUCUUCCAGCAGCCCAACUCCAGUCUUCCAGUACCCCCAGCAGCCCAACUCCAGCCUUUCAGUACCCCCCAGCAGCCCAACUCCAGUCUUCCAGUACCCCCAGCAGCCCAACUCCAGUCUUCCAGCAGCCCCAACUCCAGUCUUCCAGUACCCCCAACAGCCCAACUCCAGUCUUCCAGCAGCCCCAACUCCAGUCUUCCAGUACCCCCAGCAGCCCAACUCCAGUCUUCCAGUACCCCCAGCAGCCCAACUCCAGUCUUCCAGUACCCCCAGCAGCCCAACUCCAGUCUUCCAGCAGCCCAACUCCAGUCUUCCAGUACCCCCAGCAGCCCAACUCCAGUCUUCCAGUAUCCCCAGCAGCCCAACUCCAGUCUUCCAGUACCCCCAGCAGCCCAACUCCAGUCUUCCAGUACCCCCAGCAGCCCCAACUCCAUACCCCCAGCAGCCCAACUCCAGUCUUCCAGUAACCCCAACUCCAGUCUUCCAGUAACCCCAACUCCAGUCUUCCAGUACCCCCACGCAGCCCCAACUCCAGUCUUCCAGCAGCCCAACUCCAGUCUUCCAGUAACCCCAACUCCAGUCUUCCAGCAGCCCAACUCUGGUCCUCCAGUAACCCCAGCCCCAACUCUGGUCCUCCAGUACCCCCAGC
rnacentral:lncRNA from 1 species